CCGGGAUGUUCAUAACCCUUUGUUGUCCGACUCUGUUGCCUCCGGGGCGACCCUGCCUUCGGGCGGGGGCUCCGGGUGGACACUUCAAACUCUUGCGUAACUUUGCAGUCUGAGUAAACUUAAUUAAUAAAUUAAAACUUUUAACAACGGAUCUCUUGGUUCUGGCAUCGAUGAAGAACGCAGCGAAAUGCGAUAAGUAAUGUGAAUUGCAGAAUUCAGUGAAUCAUCGAAUCUUUGAACGCACAUUGCGCCCCCUGGUAUUCCGGGGGGCAUGCCUGUUCGAGCGUCAUUUCACCACUCAAGCCUCGCUUGGUAUUGGGCAACGCGGUCCGCCGCGUGCCUCAAAUCGACCGGCUGGGUCUUCUGUCCCCUAAGCGUUGUGGAAACUAUUCGCUAAAGGGUGCUCGGGAGGCUACGCCGUAAAACAAACCCAUUUCUAAGGUUGACCUCGGAUCAGGUAGGGAUACCCGCUGAACUUAAGCAUAUCAAUAAGCGGAGGAA
rnacentral:rRNA from 1 species